rnacentral:rRNA from 1 species
GACGAACGCUGGCGGCGUGCUUAACACAUGCAAGUCGAGCGGUAAGGCCCUUCCGGGGGUACACGAGCGGCGAACGGGUGAGUAACACGUGGGUGACCUGCCGUUUAGCUCUGGGAUAAGCCUGGGAAACUGGGUCGUAAUACCGGAUAUGACUCCGCGGUGCAUGCUGUGGGGUGGAAAGCCUUGUGCGGCUGGAGAUGGGGCCCGCGGCCUAUCAGGCUUGUUGGUGGGGUGA